rnacentral:misc_RNA from 1 species
GAAUAUACGAGAAGCGGCAAGCAUGUCUUUUUUGUGGCAGUAUGGUUUCCAAGGCAGCCAGGCACAUGAAAGAUGUGCACGCUGUGCGUCUGAAAAUACGUAAGCCAUGGACAGGAGAAGAGAAACAGGCGAUCUACCAGCACCUCAGGGGACACAUACGGAAAAAUCAACUGCCAGACUCGACCUGGUACAGAUAAGGGGAAAGAGAGGUCGCGCAGUGCCUGUGCUUCUGACCAGUGGAAGUCUUGAUGGAAAACCGUGAAGCAGUUGGGGCGCAUAAUGCGAAUCCCUAUAUAUUUGCUCGCCCCCGAAACUCCUUGAAACAAGUGAGAGGAUGGGAUUGCCUAACUGCUGUUGCCAAGCAGGCUAAUCUGCAAGAGCCUCCUGCAGAAACGAGCACAAAGCUGAGAAAGUAUGUUGCAACGGUGUCUCAGAUUAUAGACCUAAACAGCAAUGCGCUCGACUGGCUAGCAAGGCACCUGUGCCACGACAUAACUGUCCACAGGGACUUCUACCGCCAACACGAGUCGACACUAGAGCUUGCGAAAGUCAGCAAGCUACUUCUUGCUGUAGACAAAGGCAAGAUAGCAAAACUGUCUGGCCGAAAACUUGAUGAUAUUGAUUUGGAAGGUGUUUUGGCUGAUGAAUCAUCAAGUGAAGAGGAGGAUGCAGACCCGUCAUCAGGUGGCAGGAAGCUGGGCGCCCAGCAGAUCCUUGUGCUUAUUCAAAUAGCCCCUUCAUGAAUGUGACGUUACCGCAAGACAGGUGCAGUGCGCAAAUUCCUUGCGCGCUUUGUCACGUAACUCUUUGUGACGCCAUUUCUUAUAAACGCCAAGUUGCCUAUUCAACUUCAUUCUCGGUUGAGCAACCUUAUCUCGCUGACAUGCGCAUUUUGUUCUCCGUGCAAUAUGAAUCCUAACCUGAUAAUGCAAAUCAAGAGAUACUAUCGGCCAUCAGAUCGUUGGCUAACUCGAUAGACAGUAAAGUAGAUUCAGCCUUUAAGAGGCAGCGUACCCUUGCCCGACAGUCCACCAGACUUUAAAAGCGACGGUAACAAGGACCAGUUUCGCCACGAAGAAAAGCUCUCCAGCCUAAUUGACUCGGCCUUAGCAUCGUUAGACGCCGGAGACGUCAACGCAGCCAGAGAGGCCCUCAAGCAAGCCAGCAUUGAAAUCAAACAGCGGCAGAAGCUGAUCAGGUUGGCCGAUCGUUCUUCCCAAGGUUGGGCCACGGUUAAAGAAUACGUCACCGACAAUUAAGCCGACGACUCGGACGAUGAGAAACGACUCAGAAAGGCGGAGAAAAUGGCGACCAGCAAGAAAUCAGAAGCCGCUAAGAAGUCCAAGGCCAAGGCUCGCAAUCCUGUACGUCCUUACCCUGCUGCGAGUUCUUUUCGUACCUACAGCCGGUACACAUAUCGUCAAGAUUUCCGGUCCUGUUUCCAGUGCGGAAUCGCAGGACAUAUCCGAUCCAACUGCCCCUCUCUUCGGGCCCUCCAACAGCCUCAGUGCCGGUCACAACCUUCAGCCACUGAUACCACCACAGCAUAGGGACUGGGAAGAGCAGGACUCAACUACUCCUGUCCCAUCCGGUGUAAAGGAUGUUUGCAAAGACCCGUCAUCAGGUGGCAGGAAGCUGGGCGCCCAGCAGUGCGUCUGAAAAUACGUAAGCC